rnacentral:lncRNA from 1 species
AACAAAACCUAUUACACAUUAUCUUGUUGAUAGAAUAGUUAUUUGCAGUAUACUAACUGUUGGCAUACUCUAUUUCAGGACUAUCAAUUGUUUUUGUCACUGGCAGUCUUUGAAAUACAAUCUUGCUCUGUGGCCUUUACUGACAAGUUGGCUUUUACUACAUAUGUGGCACUGACACUUCUUUAAUUAAUGCACCAGUCAGUGUAAACCCCCCAACCAGGGAGGGGCAGGGAUUUUGACUUGGAGGGGGAGUAAAAAAGCGAAAUUGUCCCCGCCCCCAGGGACGUCAAUGUCCCCUGCAUGUCUCUUAACCCCAGGAAAAUAGUUUUGUAUAAUCAUAGAAUAGAAUAGAAAAGAUCAGCAAUAGAAAAUCAAAUUCAUUUAUGUUGUUGUAUUUAAACUUUUCUUGUCAAGAAAACUAAAACAGCAACACAGGAUAUAUAUGUUAACCACUGUCCAAGUCUCCCAUCAUCGGGGACAAAUUUAUAAUCAAAACUGACCACUUUCCCCGUUAAACCUUCCACCCCUCCCCGGUUGGGGGCAGGGAUUUACAUUGACUGGUGCAUAACUAGAUGAUUGCAUGAAGCAUUGCAUGGAAGUUGAUUUAUAAUUAGUUUAUGAAUAAACUCACACUUUCAUUAUAAUGGUUGAUCAAAUAUAUCAUAUGCAUUUGAUUGGUUGAUGGUCCCUUAAUGGUAAUGGUGGUCAAAUCUGAACCUAUAUAAUGUCAAUAUGAUUUGAACCUAUAUAAUGUCAAUAUACUGGAAAAGUAUCAAAUUAAAUUUUAAUUGUCAAUGUUGUGGAAAGUAAAUAAAUCAAACAAUUCUGUUUGUUUCAACUAACUAGUUCACUAUCACUUUGGUUUUCAAAUCAAAGAAUCUUUAACCUGGUUGAGCUUUUGAAAAAGUAGCUGAUUGAUUGAACGCAAGAUUAUUUUACUCUGUCUAACGCCAGACAAUUUCACUCGUCAAGGGGAAAGUGCUGCCACUCAGUGAACCAAUCAGAGCUCAAUGAGCAGCAGCACUCUCCCUCGAUAAGUAAAAUCAUCUGGCAUUAGAUGAAGUGAAAUAAACUAGUAAAGUAGGGUGCAUUGGGGCACAAUGCAGCUUACUGGGUUAACUGGAAAAUAUAUUUAUUAAACAAUAUACACCCUAUACUUGUAUUUCAAUUCACAGCAUGAUUUAGUAUGCUUAUGUCUAUUUGACCCAAGUACCUGACAGGAAUGAUAUUUGAAUCACACCUGUAUUCAUUGAACAAAGCUAAUUUAAAUGUACAUUAAUUGUACAUGAACCAUGUAAAUGUAAAAACUAGCUAGAGCAAAAACACACCCACACAGCUUUGUUUUUGUAUUUUUCUUGAGAAGGAAUAACUGAGACUACUGAGUUACAAUGAGACCAGUAUCAACAAUUUCAAAAAGGUAUUGUACAAAAAUAUUACAAACAUAAGACACUUUAAAGACAGAAAAAAACACGAAGUAUGUCACUACAGAAACUGUAUUCUGUGAUAUAGAUGAUAUUGCUUUAAAGAAACUUGCAGCUUUUAGCAGUUGUGUAAGGGCCUGUUUAUAUCGAAACUGGCUGGCCCGCUAAGUGAGACAGCCCGGUAAGGGACCGGUCAUUUAUUAGAGGGGGGGGGGGCUGGUGGAUUUUCAUUUUCCUCAACAUAAUUUCAUGUGGCCCUGCUCCUGUCACUGCAUAAAAUAAUGUGGCCCCCCAAGGGAGUGCACAUGAAAUGGCAUGGCCCACCCUCAGUUACAAUAUUUAUUAAUUUUUUUCCGGAACAAUAAUAAGCGACCUCCCCCCAAACAUUGCAAAAUUUACAUUAUUUCCCGCAAAAUUCGCAGAAUCUAUCCCAUUUAUUUUUAUAAUAACCCAAUAUUGCACGACUGUGAAGAGAAUAUUGCUCAACUCGCUUGGUUUGCCCGACUUUUGUUGAACAUUUGCCCAACUUUUCGACUUUGUAAUCUUUUUUUGGGGGGGGGCAGCUGCCCCCCCCCCGUCCCGUACGCCUAUGCUUGUAGUUGUCACUACAUUCUUUUGUUUUCAUAUAAAUAUUAAAAAUUUGACUGUGGUUGAUCCCUUCAGUGCUGUUUUCUUUUGUAGAAUAUAUAGGAAAAUGGAAUGCACAAAAAUGUAUGACCCCCCAAAAAUGGUUGCAGAAUUUUAUGCAACCCCCCAUUUUCAAGUGCACAAAAAGGUAUGACCCCCUCCCCAUUUGCACCAGCCCCCCCCCUCUAAUAAAUGACCGGUCCCUAAGUGAGAUCUCGCUGUCUAGUUAUUUUUAUAGUACAAAUUAUCAUUUCUAUGGACAAGCGGGCAGGCCCGGUUGCCAAGACCAGGAUGGAAAUUUCUCCACAUAAACAAUCAUAAGCAGGCUAGCCCGGUUGCCGGGAUGAAAGUUCAAAGAUACUGCCGCAAGCUAUUUUUAACAACUGUCAAAAUAAUGUCAAAACAACAAAAUUGUCCUGGUAAGCGGAAUGAAAUUUUCUCAAAUAAACACAAGAGAAAUCAUCCUGCUUACCUACCUUACCGGGCUGUCUUGCUAAGCGGGCCAGCCCGGCUUCCAUACAAACAGGCCCUAACAGUCUCUGUCAGGCAAUUACAAUGUUCUA